UCUCUGCUAGUAUAUCGGUUAGUACACGCGCCUGUCAAUGUUAGACAUCGAGUACUUUCCCGACGCGCGAAAGCUGGGUUCGACUCCCAGGCAGAGAG